rnacentral:rRNA from 1 species
UACGUAGGGGGCGAGCGUUGUCCGGAGUUACUGGGCGUAAAGCGCUUGUAGGCGGUCCACCAAGUUUGGGGUGACAGUUGCCGACUUAAUCGGCAAAGUGCCUCAAAGACUGGCGGACUUGAGGGCCACAGAGGGACAUGGAACUCCAGGUGUAGUAGUGAAAUGCGUAGAUAUCUGGAAGAACACCAAUGGCGAAGGCAAUGUUCUGGCUCGUUUCUGACGCUCAGGUGCGAAAGCCAGGGGAGCGAACGGG